AGUGAAUAGAUACCCGGGUAGUCCCAGCCGUAAACGAUGUGCAUUAGGUGUAUCGGUGACCACGAGUCACCGAGGUGCCGAAAGAGAAAUCGUGAAAUGCACCGCCUGGGAAGUACGGUCGCAAGGCUGAAACUUAAAGGAAUUGGCGGGGGAGCACCACAACAGGUGGAGCCUGCGGUUUAAUCGGACUCAACGCCGGGAAACUCACCAGAUAAGACAGCUGAAUGAUAGUCGGGCUGAAGACUCUACUUGACUAGCUGAGAGGAGGUGCAUGGCCGUCGUCAGUUCGUACUGUGAAGCAUCCUGUUAAGUCAGGCAACGAGCGAGACCCACGCCAACAGUUGCUAGCUCGUCCUCCGGGAUGGAGAGGACACUGUUGGGACCGCCUCUGCUAAAGAGGAGGAAGGAAUGGGCAACGGUAGGUCAGCAUGCCCCGAAUUAUCUGGGCUACACGCGGGCUACAAUGGGUGGGACAAUGGGUAUCGACACCGAAAGGUGAAGGCAAUCUCCUAAACCCAUCCUUAGUUCGGAUU
rnacentral:rRNA from 1 species